rnacentral:rRNA from 1 species
UACGGAGGAUGCAAGCGUUAUCCGGAAUCAUUGGGCGUAAAGGGCGCGUAGGUGGUUUUGUGUGUCUACCGUGAAAGCGCGCGGCUUAACCGCGUUCCGUCGGUAGAAACUGCAGAACUUGAGACUGGGAGGGGCUGGUGGAAUUCCCUGUGUAGCGGUGAAAUGCGUAGAGAUGGGGGAGAACACUCGUGGCGAAGGCGGCCAGCUAGACCAGUUCUGACACUGAGGCGCGAAAGCUAGGGGAGCAAACGGG